rnacentral:rRNA from 1 species
UGAGUAGCCGACAUGAGAGGGUGACCGGCCACACUGGGACUGAGACACGGCCCAUAUUCCUACGGGAGGCAGCUGUAGGGAAUCUUCGGCAAUGGACGAAAGUCUGACCGAGCAACGCCGCGUGAGUGAAGAAGGUCUUCGGAUUGUAAAACUCCGUUAUUAGGGAAGAAAGAAACUAUUAGGAAAUGAAUAGUAAGUGACGGUACCUAAUCAGAAAGCCACGGCUAACUACGUGCCAGCAGCCGCGGUAAUACGUAGGUGGCAAGCGUUGUCCGGAAUUAUUGGGCGUAAAGAGUGCGUAGGCGGUCUAUUAAGUCAUAUUUGAAAGCCCAUGGCUUAACCAUGGAGGGUGAUGUGAAACUGGUAGACUUGAGGACAAGAGAGGAAGGUGGAAUUCCACGUGUAGCGGUGAAAUGCGUAGAUAUGUGGAGGAACACCGGUGGCGAAGGCGGCCUUCUGGCUUGUCUCUGACGCUGAGGCACGAAAGCGUGGGUAGCAAACAGGAUUAGAUACCCUGGUAGUCCACGCCGU